rnacentral:rRNA from 1 species
UAAUGUCUGGGAAACUGCCUGAUGGAGGGGGAUAACUACUGGAAACGGUAGCUAAUACCGCAUAAUGUCGCAAGACCAAAGUGGGGGACCUUCGGGCCUCAUGCCAUCAGAUGUGCCCAGAUGGGAUUAGCUAGUAGGUGGGGUAACGGCUCACCUAGGCGACGAUCCCUAGCUGGUCUGAGAGGAUGACCAGCCACACUGGAACUGAGACACGGUCCAG